GGUUUCGUGGUGUAAUGGUUAUCACGUCUGCUUUACACGCAGAAAGUCCCCGGUUCGAUCCCGGGCGGAACCA